AUGCCUCUUUCUCUUGGAGUCUUGGUGUGUUUCAAAGAAAGAAGAAAAGAAGCUAAGCUGAGCUAACUAACACAGAAAAUUGUUGUGCAGAAUACCUAACUUCGCUGAAUUACUGGGAACUGCUCGGAUGGAAUUAGAAGCUGUACUCUAUAUGCACGGAAAGCCCUAUGUGUCUAGUUUCUGUGGAAAUUUAAGGUUUGCGAUUCUGACUUUUCUAGGAGUUAUGGCAAUUUAAGUGAAGGCAGUUCAGCUUGGAAGGAAUCUGUGUGUGUGUGAAUUUGUUGUAAUUUGGCUUAUGGUGAAAUUGGAAGUUCUCAUACUUCUAUAUAGAAUAUGUGCAUAUAUAUU
rnacentral:lncRNA from 1 species